ensembl:lncRNA
UACACACGCCCACAAAGGAAACCCGCGUGUUUCUUUGAGGUUCCUCAUGAAUAUGAUUAAUAUCGUUUAAUAAUCUAUACUAGAUCUAUUGUUCGAACCAGAAUGACUUUUCAUGUGAAUUUGUAAGCGAUCGCUCACACAUUUUGAUCCCACUUCUAGCUACAUCACUGCGCAGGGAAUCUGCUUGUAGCUGCAUUGUUGGAUUUGGUGGAUGCCACAUGUUUCGUUACUACUGUUAGCUAGCUUGGGAGUUCUUUUUACGUCGCUGGCGGUCGCUGCCCACGGUUCCUACACUGGCAAUAUUGAAUUAACAUAGAGGGAUCCAAGAAUUCCAGCCCCACUGUAUUGGCCCAUGGUAGAAGUGGUCAGAAAAUAACUUUUUGGACCUGUAUGCCAACACAUUUUGCUCAAAGUUGACCUGUUUUGAG